UCUUAUCCUUAGGGGACCUGCUCUGCCUCUAGGGAACCAAGUCCCUUACAAGGCAGAGAGGGGCAGGAGAGAGGGGAGAUAAAGGCUUUCUGAUAUUCACGCUGGGGUGUGCCAGCGUCCCGUGCUAAGGAAAUUUCCUCCCUGUUCCGGGGGGCUGUGGAUCAGUCAUCAGGAGUUGGGAAAGUCCUCAGCAGAGCUGAGAGCUAUGAGGGAGAAGAAAACAAGACUCGUUCAAUCAUUAGGGGUUAGUGCUACAAAGCUGCUCUGCAAAACAGAAAUGGAAUUGCAGAAGGACAUUAGGAAGUACAAGACUGCUUGUGGUCCUCUUGUUUUGACUCAGAUGUAGAACGACAAAUCCUUGGACAACAGAGAUAAUUAAAGAUCC
rnacentral:lncRNA from 1 species